GAUGAACGCUGGCGGCGUGCCUAAUACAUGCAAGUCGAGCGAACGUACGAGAAGCUUGCUUUUCUGAUGUUAGCGGCGGACGGGUGAGUAACACGUGGAUAACCUACCUAUAAGACUGGGAUAACUUCGGGAAACCGGAGCUAAUACCGGAUAAUAUUUUGAACCGCAUGGUUCAAAAGUGAAAGACGGUCUUGCUGUCACUUAUAGAUGGAUCCGCGCUGCAUUAGCUAGUUGGUAAGGUAACGGCUUACCAAGGCAACGAUGCAUAGCCGACCUGAGACGGUGAUCGGCCACACUGGAACUGAGACACGGUCCAGACUCCUACGGGAGGCAGCAGUAGGGAAUCUUCCGCAAUGGGCGAAAGCCUGACGGUGCAACGCCGCGUGAGUGAUGAAGGUCUUCGGAUCUUAAAACUCUGUUAUUAGUGAAGAACAUAUGUGUAAGUAACUGUGCACAUCUUGACGGUACCUAAUCAGAAAGCCACGGCUAACUACGUG
rnacentral:rRNA from 1 species